rnacentral:rRNA from 1 species
AACGAACGCUGGCGGCAGGCUUAACACAUGCAAGUCGAGCGCCCCGCAAGGGGAGCGGCAGACGGGUGAGUAACGCGUGGGAAUCUACCCAUCUCUACGGAAUAACGCAUGGAAACGUGUGCUAAUACCGUAUACGUCCUUCGGGAGAAAGAUUUAUCGGAGAUGGAUGAGCCCGCUGUUGGAUUAGCUAGUUGGUGGGGUAAAGGCCUACCAAGGCGACGAUCCAUAGCUGGUCUGAGAGGAUGAUCAGCCACAGUGAGACUGAGACACGGCCCAGACUCCAACGUGAGGCAGCAGUGGGGAAUAUUGGACAAUGGGCGCAAGCCUGAUCCAGCCAUGCCGCGUGAGUGAUGAAGGCCCUAGGGUUGUAAAGCUCUUUCACCGGUGAAGAUAAUGACGGUAACCGGAGAAGAAGCCCCGGCUAACUUCGUGCCAGCCGCCGCCGUAACAC